AUGAACCCGAGCGAGGACAGCGCCCGCCGCCGCCGCCGCCGCUCCCAAACCCACGCGAGUGACGUGGCCGUCGGAGUGAUCCGCCGCCGCAGUCCGCGCCUCCAUCCCCAGGUUCACCCGAGCGAGGAGGGAGACGGAGCGGCUCGCCGCCGCAGCCCGCGCCCCCGUUACCAGACCCGCGGGACUGGUGAGGGCGCUGGAGUGAUCCGCCGCAGCUUCCCGGCUGCGCUGGCCUCGCCGAUCGAAGACGAAGACCUCCUGAUGGAGAUCCUCCUUCGUCUCCCGCGGCAGCCCUCCUCGCUCAUCCGGGCCUCCGCCGUCUGCAAGCAGUGGCGGUGCGCCGCCACCGACCCCAAGUUCCUCCGCCGCUUCCGCCUCCACCAUCGGAAGCCGCCCCUCCUCGGCCUCUUCCACCAGCGCAACCAUGAUAUCGUCUUCACCCCCACCAUGGACCGUCCCGACCGAAUCCCUCCAAAGCGUUUCAACCUGCAUCAGCAUCUCGACAGCCACAACAUGGGGGCGGUCCAACUUCUCGAUUGCCGCCAUGGCCGCGUCCUUCUCACGGACAAACGGCGGGAUGAGCUCAUCCUAUGCGACCCUAUCAUCGGUGAGCAGCGCCUCAUGGCUGUUCCUCCAGAGUUCGUAAGAAAAUACUUCAACGGAACUGUGCUUUGUGCUGCCAUCGACCAUGACCAUGUGCACGAAAGCUGCCACUCGAGCCCCUUCAAGGUGGUGCUGAUCUAUCUCGGAGGGGAUAAUCAACUUACCGUGUGUGUUUACUCCUCUGAGACUGGCGUAUGGGGUGAUAUCAUUUCGACAACCGCUUCAUAUCAUCUUUCUGACUAUGGUAUCCCUGGCUUGCUUGUUGGUAAUUCGCUUUACUGGUUGCUGGAUAUUAUAGGGGCUGGCAUACUUAAGUUUGAUUUGGAUGAGCAGAGCCUAGCUGUGAUCAAGGGGCCUCUUGUUACAAAUGAUUUUAGCCGUGGUAGUUGUAUCAUCCAGGAUGAGGAUGGCACGCUUGGCUUCGCCAUAUUGUCUUACCCUCACUUACAAAUGUGGCAGAGGAAUAUCAUUUGCCAUGGUGUUGCCACAUGGGUGCUAUGGAAGACCAUUGACAUGCGUACAAUUCUUGGGCUCCCUAAACAGAUUCAAGGAAAGAGGACGCUUAUAAGAAGUAUACUGGGAUGCCUCGAGGAUUGUGACGAAAUACUUCUAUCUGUGGAUCGUGGUGCCUAUAUGGUUCAACUUAAGUCGAUGAAGUCUAGGAAACUUUGUGAAAACAGUUAUUUAACUUGCUAUCAUUCUUUCAAGAGUUUCUAUCCUCCAGAUUCAGAUGGAUACCGGUUUCCUGCUGAUGGCAAGCUUUCUCCCGUCCAUAUAUGUGCAUAUCCGAAGGUAUUGCCAUUUAUGCUGUGCGGCUUGCUUGCACUGGUAGCUCCUCAACCUGAACUGAACGCCUCAUCUGAGUUACUCGUCGUUUCCAACACAAGCAUCCCAUCGCUGUAA
rnacentral:rRNA from 1 species